rnacentral:rRNA from 1 species
AGUGAACGCUGGCGGUAGGCCUAAUACAUGCAAGUCGAACGGACGCACAGUAAGAGUUCUCCUCUACGGGUGGCGAGUGGCGGAUGGGUGAGGAAUACAUCGGCAUCUAAUUUUUCGUGGGGGACAUCGUAGGGACACUUAUGCUAAUACCGCAUACGACCUACGGGUGAAAGCAGGGGUUCUUCGGACUUUGCGUGACUCAAUGAGACGAUGCCGGAUUAGCUAGUUGGCGAGGUAAAGGCACACCAAGGCGACGAUACGUAGCUGAUCUGAGAGGAUGAUCGGCCACACUGGAACUGAGACACGGUCCAGACUCCUACGGGAGGCAGCAGUAGGGAAUAUUGCGCAAUGGGCGCAAGCCUGAUCGAGCCAUACCGCGUGAGUGAAGAAGGCCUUCGGAUUGUAAAGCCCUUUUAUUAGGGAAGAAAAACAGCGUAUUUAAACCCCGCUGUUUUGACGGUACCCAAAGAGUAAGCAACGGCUAACUUCGUG